rnacentral:piRNA from 1 species
UGCUUUCACAUUGGUUUCCAUUCUACAA